rnacentral:rRNA from 1 species
UACGAAGGGGGCUAGCGUUGCUCGGAAUCACUGGGCGUAAAGGGCGCGUAGGCGGGGAGGUAAGUCGGGUGUGAAAUCCCUUGGCCCAACCGAGGAACUGCGCCCGAGACUGCUUUUCUUGAGUCCCGGAGAGGAAGGUGGAAUUCCCGGUGUAGCGGUGAAAUGUGUAGAGAUCGGGAGGAACACCGGUGGCGAAGGCGGCCUUCUGGACGGUGACUGACGCUGAGGCGCGAAAGCGUGGGGAGCAAACAGG